rnacentral:rRNA from 1 species
AUGCUCUCUGAAGUACUGAUUCUUAAAGAAUGUCCUAAACUCUUGGAGUUGCCAUGUUUAAGACACAUUCUUUACCCACAGGAGCAAGACUGGAACAUAGAUUGGUUUCCCAAACUACAAGAGCUCGAAAUAGAAAAUUGUCCUGAAGUCUUGUCAUUGCCUCCUAUCCCCUGGACCCGAACUUUAUGCUCUGUGAAGAUAAAACAUGUGGGAUCUAAACUAGUGGAAAAGUUGGAAUACUCAAAAUCAUCUUCUGGGGUAGCAUUGAAAAUUGUUGGAAAGGAGGAUCUGCAUAGCUUAUGUCAGCUAUUAGUAUUCGAUAAAUUAAAAGAGCUUCAGAAAUUGAAAAUUGAGAAAUGCCCAUCUUUGGAGUUGAAGCACCUUGUAAUGCUAACCUCAUUAAAGGAAUUGAUUGCUAAAAGACCAGUUGCUCUGGUUGGGCCAAUAGGAGAUCAUGGUGGUAUUGAAUGGCAGCAUCUUGUCGAGCAUUUUACGAUCAUAUCUUGUGGUGUUAGUGGGAAAGAAUUUAGCCAACUCCUCUCGCACCUCCCAAAGCUCUCUGUAUUGGUAAUAGUAAAUUGUGAAAACAUAACACAAUUGGUUGUUGGGGUGGAUCGACAACAAACAACAAUAGAAGUACCAUCAUCCAGCUCUUUGGAUGUUAAAAUGGAGUAUUCAAGAGCAAAAGGCGAGAAGCAGAAAAUAGUCGAAGAGGAGGAGGAAGAUGAAUUACUGGGAGAAGAGGAGAAAGCAGCAGAGAAAGAUGACGGGUUGUUGGUCUUGCCUGCACAUCUCUAUAACUCUCUACAGAGGUUGAACAUUAAUUCUAUUGGGCGUAAUUGCAUGGUGGUUCCCCCUCUCCAUGCCCUCCAAGCUUUACGCACCCUCGAGCUAGAUGGAUGCUCAUUACCGUCAUAUUCUUCUUCUUGUCACCCUUUCCCUUCCACUUUGUUAGAACUCGUUCUUUGCCAUGUAGAAGGCAUGGAGACGUUGGAGCCCCUCUCAAACCUCACCUGUCUCACUCGAUUAGAUAUAAAUGAUUGUGGAGAUAAUUUAAGAUGGGAGGGCCUGUUGCUUCUCCAUACCCAAGGUCAACUUCGUCAUUUAGUCGUCUGUGGAAGCCCCGAUUUCUUUGUUGGUUUGCAUCCCAGUCCAGGGCUGAAGGAUGAACAAGAGCAGUCGCUUCCCAGUUCCUCCAAACUGGGGUUGCUCAUGACAGAUGAUGUGGCAGGAGUCCUCAUAGCACCCGUCUGCAGCCUCCUCUCUUCCUCCCUCACUCAGUUGUUUAUUUAUGGUGACCAAGAGGUGGGGCACUUCACAAAGGAACAAGAGGAAGCCCUUCAGCUCCUCACCUCCCUCCACGAACUCGAGAUUAUGAAAUGCUACAAGCUGUGGUGCCUCCCUGCAGGGCUAAACAAGCUCACCAACCUCAAAUUAUUAAGGAUCGAUUCAUGUCCAUCUCUCCAGUCACUGCCCAAGGGUGGCCUCCCGAUUUCACUGCAAGGAUUAGAUGUCAGAAAUUGUGGCAGCAUGAAGCUAAAACAGCAGUGCAGGCGGUUAACUGGGACAAUUCUGGAAAUCAUACUUGAGUAA